UCACCUCACAAUAGAGAUGAUGGUCAAGUGUUCAUUUAACUUGUUCUGAAAAACCUCUGCCAGAGAUGCCCCAAGCUUCACAAGAAGUAAAUAGAGAGGAAGAUUCUCAAUAAGUCUUGUGAGCAGGAGAAAAUUUUCCUGACUUUGACUGACACACUGGACGAAAGACAAGCAGUCAUGGACAUAAAGAUGGCUACUGAAGUUGGAAACAUUGAUUUUAUUUACAUGGCUUUCAAAAUAUAAAAGGCUCAUAAGCAAAAUAAAUAUUGAAUAGGGAACUUGACCAAAUAACAAAAUAAGUUGGAAGAUGGGAAGAAAAUUCAUGAUGAAUCCAACAGUAAUAUAUAAAAAAAUUUUUUCAUGCUGGAUCCGCACCUUAGGGUGAGGUAUUUUAUAGGAAGUUUCAGCAAGAGAAUGGUCCAGACAGUCAUGUUAAUGAGAAUAGGGCAAAAUACACAUUUUCCCCUGUUUAAAAAACCUUACAGCUAAUUGUUGAAAGUGUUGGCCACUAUAUGCUUCAGCAAAGAGAUUUGAAAUUUGGAGGCAGGGAAGAUAAUCAUCCUUGUAUCAAGGAUGUGUCUUUUUCUGUUCCCAUGAUGCCCUUCCCCAAACAAAAUGGUCAAUUUCUGAUCCCCUUGAAAAGUCUCAGUUUGGACAUAGUUUGAUAUAUAUUAGUUAACCAAAUUCUCUGAAAAUUUUGUCUGCGACAGACAUUAUGGAAAAGAUCAAAAAGCUAAAAUCUAGAAAAGUUAAAGGCAACUGAAAAUUAAGUCUCAUAUGGGAUCUGUCAGGAACCCUAACUACGGCAUUAUUACCUGUGCUCCAGUAAUGUAAAGAACAUAGAAACACUUAGGCGAGGUCUAGACUACAGUCCUUUGUUGAAAAAAGCAACGCAAAUUGCGCUUCACAAUUUGUGUAGCUUUUUCCGAUAGCUUUUUC